GACGAACGCUGGCGGCGUGCUUAACACAUGCAAGUCGAACGGAAAGGCCCCUUUGGGGGUACUCGAGUGGCGAACGGGUGAGUAACACGUGAGUAACCUGCCCUUGACUUCGGGAUAACUUCAGGAAACUGGGGCUAAUACCGGAUAGGAAUCCUUGCUGCAUGGUGGGGGUUGGAAAGCUUCGGCGGUUUUGGAUGGACUCGCGGCUUAUCAGCUUGUUGGUGGGGUAGUGGCUUACCAAGGCUUUGACGGGUAGCCGGCCUGAGAGGGCGACCGGCCACAUUGGGACUGAGAUACGGCCCAGACUCCUACGGGAGGCAGCGGUGGGGAAUAUUGCACAAUGGGCGGAAGCCUGAUGCAGCAACGCCGCGUGCGGGAUGACGGCCUUCGGGUUGUAAACCGCGUUCAGCAGGGGCGAAGCUUGUGGUGACGGUACCUGCAGAAGAAGCACCGGCUAACUACGUG
rnacentral:rRNA from 1 species